UACAGAGGUCCCAAGCGUUGUUCGGAUUCAUUGGGCGUAAAGGGUGCGUAGGUGGCGCCGUAAGUCGGGUGUGAAAUUUCGGAGCUUAACUCCGAAACUGCAUUCGAUACUGCGGUGCUUGAGGACCGGAGAGGAUAGUGGAAUUCCCAGUGUAGUGGUGAAAUACGUAGAGAUUGGGAAGAACACCAGUGGCGAAGGCGGCUAUCUGGACGGUUUCUGACACUAAGACUCGAAAGCGUGGGGAGCAAACAGG
rnacentral:rRNA from 1 species